CAGUGCGGUAUCAAGCGCAGCGCGGUAGGGACGUUUUCUACGCUUCUUUCUAUUGAUUUCCUGAACACCGCGUUAUUGUGAUGUUUUUUAAACAAAAACAUGAUUAAUAGUGCAUAGUCGUUACACUAAUUUGGUCUAGAUUCAGUCGUGUUUCAGUUGUUUCUUAUUUUAAUGAGUUGUGCGUGAUUUUGAGCGAUUCUUGGAUUAUUUUUCGGACAUCAAUUGAGCCUCAAACAAUGUCAUCUAAGAUCACGUACAGAAACAACAUUUAAAUACGAACGAACGAACGACCAAACAUACUAUUAAUACUGUGUUCAUUGUUUAAAACCAUGAACGCGCCCUAAGAGAAAGAGACGGAGCUGGUUCUCAAAAUAGCGCGUUCAGAAAUAGAAAAAAAAAUGGCCUCAGUUGGUGGCGGGACGGCGGCGGGCACGGAUCGCUCGUGGUGGGCUACAACAUGGGGCGCCAUGGCUGACCUUGCCGAGGCGGUCGACGAUCUGAUAUGCAGCUUCGAUUAUAUGGACACAGCCAUGGAUAACCUAGUCAUGCUUAUCUUCAUCUGGCUCCUCUUCUCCAUAGUCCUUCUCGGCAUAGCCAAAUGGGCUUACGGCCGCUUCAAGCCGAAAACUGUUGAACCAGAAAAGCCGAAAGAAGAACCGAAACCGAAGUCUACGGCUACUGAGAUCGUUAACAGCGCUGAUACGGUGUUGGCUACUACUGCUAAAGUUAAAAGUGCUGCGUUUAACUCGUUCAAGCCUAAGCCUAGUGGGUUUGUGCCAGCGACCCCUCCCAACAAGCGUCGCUUGGGACGCAUGUCCCCAGGGCCUGAGGCUCUCCACAAGAAGCACCAAAGCAUCAUAGUACCGACGUGCACGGGCCCGGACCCGCCGAGCGUGCAGUGGGUGAACGACUUAUUGACGUGGUUAUAUAAUGAUCUGGUUAUUGUGAACGAACUAGUGCAGCAAUGGAUUGUGUCCAUGAACGAGUUCUCGAAGAAGUCCGUGGAGGAGCAAGGCAUCGGAGUGGAGCUGGUGCGCGCGCUGGACAGCAACCCGCCCAGCGUGUCCAACGUGUUCUGCGAGUGCGACUCUAAGGACGACGUGACCAUCACGUGUGACUGUGAGGCAACGCCUGCCUUCCAGCUCAAAGCCUUCAGUCAGCGGGGGGAAAAGGUGGAAGUGUCACACUACAGAGUUAAUGUCAACAGGUUCCGUGCUCGCCUCAACGUAGUCUGCAUAACAGAGAAGUUGACGGGAGAGCUAAGAUGCGACGGUUGGCCAGAGGUCAAAGUGGCGCUGGCCCCCGUGGGACCUCUGAAGACGUCCUCCAACGAGGCCAACCUACAACAACUAGUCAGUGACAUCGUGGUGAAUGCGCUCCGAAGCACGCAACUAGCGUUUAAUUUGUCGCACUACCCCACGUGUCCGAGGCUGCGAAGACACUUUGACACGUCGCCGCGGCUGCCCCUCCACUAUGAUUCCAUGUUGUCUCACGACCGCAUGUACGCGUCGACGCCGACGUCGGCGUCCAUGUCCAACGUGCAUCUCGGAGAGAAGAGGCUGCUCGUCAAGGUCGUCGGCGCUAAGGACUUGGGAGGUAAGACGGGCUGCAGCGCGCCAUACUGCGUGGUUGAGAUGGACGAGCCCCCGCAGAAGAACCAGACCGCCUUUAAGAAGGACACUAAACAUCCGCAGUGGGAGGAACAUUUCCUAUUCGAUCUCUCACCACAAACCGCGGAGCUGCUAUUCGAGGUGUACGACCGCACGGGUCCACCUUCCCCCGGCGGAGGCCCAUCCACACACAGGUUCCUUGGACUGGGUCUGGUGGGUAUAGACGAGUUGCUGGCGGCACCUUCGCAGCGGCAACAGAUAGCACUUCAGACGCGCCCUAUGGAAGAGCACGAUAUCUCGGGCACACUCACUGUAGAGUUUCUAUUCAUCGAGGGUGCCGACAUCCCAGACCUCGGUUCCCGACCCGUAAAGAUCAAAGAGUCGCUACGCACGCUAUCACCCCAAGGCCACCUUACCACAACCACCAAGACGAUAUUUAAGCAGAACGGACACGAAAACUCGGCACUGACGGAGUCGGCGCUCCGAGAGUUGGAGCUGAGCCCCACCAACGCAGCCAAUAAGUCCACCCUCAUCAUACACUCCGUGCAAAGGGAGCCAAAGAAGUCAAUUAAGGUCGAACUAACCGACUCCGGUAAAUUCAUCGAAGUGGAGCGCGAAGACACGCUAAACAGCGUGGACUCUGCAGACCUCACCAGCACCACGAUGGAGAGCAUAGACGAGAACAGAACAGAACAGCAUGUGUCGCCGAAUUCGUCGCCGGCGCGGCAAGUUCGGAUCAAGGAGAAUGGUGCUAAGGCGAACGGAGAUACGGAGCAAGGAGACUACGUCCAGAAACCCGAGGAAGCAGCACCAGAACCUGCGCCGCGGCAGAAGAGGAGGAGAGACUUCUUCGGUACCAUUAAAAGAAGGCUGGGCCGGUCGCGCACGCGCGGCGCGUCGCUGGACCUGCCGAGCGACAGCGACGUCGACCAGAGUCGCGUGCGCAGCAUCAGCGCCGAGAGAAACCACCAAGAUAAAGCCCUAUCCGUCCCCAAUAGAAACGUAUAUUCAGCGGGCGCGUCACCAGCGCAAUCUGGCGACGAGUCGAGGACGUCUAGAAGAUCCUCCCUCAGCGAGGUGUCCGGGUUCAGCACGGCGUCGGCGCGCACGUUCGUGCAUGAGGCGUCCACGUUGGUGCUAGAAACACUGGAGGCCGGCAUCAGGAAGCACUACCUGGUUCCGCUGGCCGUGGCCCAGCGGUCGAGGUGGCGGCGGAAGGGCGUGAAGCUGCACAUUUACAACGAGCACACGUUCAUCGCUAAGCAUUUGAGCGGCGGCACGGUGUGCGAGAUCUGUCAGAAAACGAUCGCGCGGCGGCUCGGCAAGCAGGGCUACGAGUGCCGCGACUGCGCGCUCAAGUGCCACAAGCACUGCCACAUCAAGGCCGCCACGGCCUGCCCUUCCUCCUCUGUGCAAAAUAUGGAGCUAUCCAUGCUCCCAGUGCUAAACGAAUAGCGAGCCGCGAGAAGACUGCAAGAAAAGAAACUUUUAUAAACCAAGCAAUUUCCACUAAGGUUUAAACACGGCUUACAUCUCAUCUCCGUACACCGACAAGAAUAUAAGGAUGUUGUGAUUUUUCAGACUAUAUUAAAACGCUUCGAUGCACAAAGCAUUAAGUUUUACCAACAAAUAUUUUAAACUGUCGGUUUUAAACUUGUCGACAAAUAAUACUUAACUAAGGUUAAGGGCUUAGUUAAGUAAUAUUAUGUUUAGAGAAGAUCUCUAAACAUAAUUCAUAAACAAUAGUUAUUUUAUUUGCUUCUAUAUGAUGUCCUAUACAACAUAUAGAACACACACGCUGACAUCGUACCAACGUCAUUUCAGGAUAUUUCAUAACUUAUAAACUUACUUACUUAUUUAUAACUCAUUAGUUAUAAAUUUCUAAAUGUACAAAAAUUACAUAGGUAUGUCUUGAUUAGGUAAAUAUGCCGAGAGAAGAGAACGAGAUGAUAAUAUGUAAUACUAAAUUAUUACGACGAAUUGACUUUUACUUAAAUAAGCAUAAAAGAAACUAAAGUAUAUGUACAUUAAUGUCGACAAGUUUGAAACUGAUCAUAAAACCACAAAUCUCUCUAAGUACAACACUUAUGUACGCUUCUGUACUUUGUAUAUGUAUAGGCUUUUUUACAAAUAUAUUUACAAUAUUAAUGUUAUAAACUAGUUUAUAAGGUAUUAGUGGUUCAGACUGCCUGGAAGGGUAACGUUCGCAAUAAACUGUGUCAUAGCGAAACCAACCUUGUUUAAUGGAUAUAAGUGUUAAAAUCUCUUGAACGUUAUCCAUCGAUAUUGAUACCCGCUUUCUUUGGUAAAAUUAGAAUUAGUUUAGGUAUCGCUAGAGCCCACCCAGCAUUGAAAAUAAUCUAGAAACCACUUAACUAAGACGGUCGGUGAGGUUACUCAGUUAGUAUAAUUUGGUAACCAUAUUAUACUAACUGAACUAUUAUAGAUACUUAAAUAUUAAAUUUUUACCUACUUAAGUAUAAUAAAACCAGUUGCACGAAGUCAGAUAUCGAAACAUAAAGUUAUCAACCGUCUCAGUUAAGCGGUAGACCUAUACCCAUAUGGCUGGGUGCAUAUAGGUACACUUUUAUCUAAUUAUUAUAACAGUCAUAUGACUCCUCUAAAUGUUCUUAGUUUGUGCUCUACUGAUGAAAAAAAUGUGAAAAUACUAUAUUCUUAGAUUUUAUAAAGGUGAUAUGCGUCAAGGUCGAUUUGUAUUAUUUUAAAUUUAAUUUUGUAUUGAAUGAACUUUAAAGGUCAUACUUAUGUCGUCAGUUUCACCUAGUGAAAUUACUAAAUUGUUGAGAAGUCAUUAAGUUUGCCCUAUAGAAAAAUCAAAUAGAAAAUAUCACCAAUUGGUCUGGACGAACCUCACCUUAUGAAAACCAAAUGCACCCAGCCAAGGACCCAUUUAAAAAGCCAGCCAAAUUAUAUAACAGAGAUGUUUCUAUUUAUCUCUACCUCAAACCUAAAAAAAAACAAUUUAGUUACCAAAAUAUACAUCACAUUUUUGUUAAUUUAUGUUGUUAUCUAACUUAAAUAAGGUCCUACGGAGGAAUUGUGACAAACGGUAAAUUACACCUUAAACUUAGUAUACUAAGUGCUAUUUUGCACAAAUUGUGAUCUGAUAUGUUAAAGUGCAAUAAUUAAUACUUAAAACAUUCACUCUUGCUUCGCUUUCAUCGUUACUUAACUACAAAGAAAUCCAAAAAGUAACUUAAGUAGGUACUUUUUGUUAAGUAUCGAUACAUACGAUAUAUGUUAAAAAUAUUCCACUUUAACUCGAAUAAUUUAUUUAAAAGGCCUUUGAAAAGCUAAUUAUGUCAAAGGCACAAAUCUAAUUAAACGCUAUACGUUUUAUACAAAACUCACUCAUACGCCAAGAUCAUGGGCGCAUGCGAGCUAAUAUGAACCUUAGAUAGAAGCAUUAAGGUUAUAUUCACAGCGUCCGUCGAAAUCCUUUUCGGGCGAUGUGAGCAUGUUUACUGGCGACUUUAGGUGUUUUUGAUACCCAAGGGGAUUAACAAACGGAAAAAUCGGAGCUAAAAUUUUAUGAAGAACCUUUGACAUGGUUGAAGUAGCUUUCAGAAUCUCAAUUCUCAAAUGACCUAGUACUCCUGAAUAAUAGGGAGAUAUUGACAUUUUCACUAAUGUGUGAUAUUACUGAUAUUCUUUUUAAUACACAUAAUGAAGUAUACUUGGUCAAGCAGAUCUUGUCAGUAGAAAAAGGCGGCAAAUUUGAAAAUUGUAGGCGCGAAGGGAUAUCAUCUCAUAGAAAAUUUGAAUUUCGCGCCUUUUUCUACUGACAAGAUUUGCUUGACCGUCUAUAUGUGACGAAUUUCUUCAUUGUCUUUCGGAGAACCAAGACCCAAGUAAGAAAGUUUGCUGUAAAAUAAAGUCAUUGAAGGUAAACACGAGAUCUAAUGGGUCAAUUAAACUAACAUUUAUUUAUAUAUCCUCCUCCUAUUAAGGUUAUUUUGAUAUAACCUGAGGAUAGCUCAUGAUACCACCAUUUAUUCACUAUUGCGGCCUCAUUAUUACUAAGACUAAGUUUUUCGCUGGAUACUGCAUUCUGAUCCCACUUCUGAAUUUUCCGCCAUUUUGUAAAUUUAGCGUGCAUAUAACUUUCUAUUUUCAAUUAUUUUAAAAAUUGUAGUAUCCAGUGAAUUGACUAUGUAUAAAAUAAAUAUACACCGACAUUGUAAAUUUCAAUAAUUGUUGACGCAUAAUAUGUGGUUAUGACCGAUAGAUAUUAUUUAUAAAUGUUGCGCAAUGUGUUUUUCUGUAAUUUUAUUUUCUCUUUUUUUAAUAAAAGAAAUGCCUUUUUUAAA